GGCGUGUUUCGCUCUCGCUGUGCUCCCUGAGCGAGUGCUGAACGUUCCAUUCUCUGGAAUUGGAAUGGCCUGAGGUUCGCUGCACUGCCCGCUGAGCGCCCCCCACCCCCCCGGAUCACACUCACUGAGUGCACACUGCCAGCCUCCAGCUGCCAAAGAGUUAAAGUGCACACUGCUAUAAACCGGGGAACUGAUGAGAGAAUGUCAGUGGCAGGUCUGAAGAAGCAGUUCCACAAAGCCAGCCAGGUAAAGCAUGGGUCCUGAAUUGUCCUUUCAUUUCUAUUUGUUCAUAAAUAAAAGUGUUUUAUAGCUGAAGCCAAUACACAGUGUACAUCACAUUCUCAUCUUACACACAGCCAGUCCAACUCUCUGAUGUCCUUCCUGUAGCUGGGUUACCAGAUCAUGUAAACACAAUAACGUAUAAUGAACCCAUGUAUGAUGUGAGAUUGAUACAUUCUCCUAACAGGUACAAGGUGACAAUGUACACAACACAUGUGCCCUGUGAUUUGCACACACGGGCUAUCCACCACUUCCUUUGAGGUAAACACAAUUAUUCAACUGGCUGCUGUGCUACAUUGUGACACAGCAAGGGAGUGUCUGAUGAAAAGACAUGUUAUAUCAUAUCCUUUAUUGGCAGAUCUGAUGGGAGUUAUUUAGAUUUACUCAACACUUUCUUGUAUUAAUACUACAAUGCAUUCUGAAGAAAAAUAAACAGCCGGAGGGGGAAUGCAUGGGUAUAAGGUGUGGAGAUCUGUUAAUUGUAAACAAAAACAAAAAUUCCAUGUUUCAAUUCUGCUUCCUAGCUUAAUUUUCUACAGGUAGCGCUAGAUUUUAUAGAUGUCAAAAUUGUUCUGAAAACAGUGCAAUUACCUCAAUUGUGUUGCUGUGAUAAUUGUUUGUGUCUCCUAUACAAUGUUUAUAGCCCCCAACAUCUGCUUUGAUUUAAUUGUCACAUGCUUUCCACUAAGUGCUAAUUAAUUUGUGCAUAUGUGUGGAUGCAUAUUUUAUCUUGCAUCACAGCUAUUCCAGAAGUCAUUAUUUAGACCAUGACAUCAGCUCAAAUGCAUUAAAAAUAUAUUAUCUGACGACUGCCUAACCUUGGUAUAUACCCACUUUGUUUGUUUAUUUACUGUUUACUACAGGUGUUUGUUUCAAUGUACCCGUAUAUAUACGUUGCUGCGUGAUUCAUCUAUUUUAUUCUAAUGGUGAAUGGACAUUUUAAAAUCUGUCACCAUUUCUGUGGUGGCGAAUCGGUACAGCUGUGAAUUUUUCCUGAAUUCCAAUGAUUGGGUUCAUGGGUUACAACAGGAUCAAUACUGUAAUCAAUAAUGGGUGUCUUAUGUAGGAAACUGCUAGAAAGUAAAUGACAGUAAUUAUAUGAACUGUUGUUGGAGACACAUCGUAAACUGAUGAUAUGACAUUCUAGGGUGAUAAAACACAAAUGUGUUAGUGCAUUGUCAGAUUAUGUUACAUGGGUUAGUAAAUAAUUGUGGUGUUGCUCCACUGCAAGUUUCCUUUGCAAAAAUCACAUAUCUGGAAUCUUACAGUAAGAAAAAAGUGCUUUUUUGAUUUUCUGUAUAUUCCAUGCAUUAUUGCACAUGUGGUGCCUAGAAUGUCUCAUUAAAAUGCAAGCAAGGCCCCACCACAGAUACAUCUCAUGUUAAACACAUAUCAGUACAUAAAUGCGUUCUAAGCAAUGCCUUGUUCGUAUAUCAAUUCUUUCUCAGACUAGAGAAAUAUCCUUAGCAAAAAUUGCAAUGACAUAAAAAAAAAAUUCUGUUUAUAUCAAUAUUCAGUUCGUAAUUGGGGGUGGUCUCCCUUUCUCUUGCAAGCCUGAUUAUGGUCGACGUGUUGUGUGAAAAAUUGCAUUUUAUUAUUUUUGUUGUGACCACGUCUAGGGUGCAUGUGCGGCUUUACGUGUCAUCCAUAGGGAAUAUUGGUGGCCUAUCAGAGUUAUUCACAAAAGUCCAAAUGGGUCUGUAACGAAUAGGGAAAAACCAUUCGCUGCUGGACGGGGCCAUUCAGACUUCAAAAUCCAGACUUUGUUGAUAAAAUUUAACAAUGUCUGGUUUGUGAAAAUCAGGCCCCAAAUGGGCCUGAAUUUGGUCCAGACUUCGGUCGGACCGAACAACGCUGGACGGCUGAAAUCCAGACUUAAUGAAUUCAACCCCAUUCCGAAGUUGCAAUCCGAACUACUUGCCCUUUGGCAGCAAUAGCAAAAAGAAUGAGAAUGUUCAUUUGCGAAUGUGGCUCAUGCCGGAUGCAUUCGUUUUAUCUUCGGCCGCCAUGCUCUCAAUAAAUCUUCGAUUCCUGUCCUUCGUGUUGAUUUGGAUGCAGGUAUUAGUGAUUUUCUGAAUGUUACAGAACCAGUAAGACAGGUUAGAUCUUGAUCGUAGUUGGCUUUGGUAAAUCUACAAAUUGCAAAAGCAGACGAAAAUUUAGUGUUUAAUGAAUAGCUCUGUAUGUUUUAGUUCUGGAAGCAGCUGAAAUUAAUUUCCAGUUGAAGAAGUAAUGUAAGCAGUAUAUAAAGACACGGAGGAUGAGUUAUGGUUAAACAGACCGAUGAAACUGGUAGGAGAUAACAGCAGCUAUCAUUUCUAGUGUUGGUGGCUGCAAGAGAUAUGCUAAGGGAAUGUUCUAAGCUGCGAUAAAAAUGGGAUCCGAACUGGCACUUGCUGCUUAAGAGGACUUCUUGUUCUAGUCCAGAGCCAAACUGGAAGCAUAGCUAAAAUUUAGGUUUUUUUUCCAGUUCAGCUAUUUUAGCCUUAAAAUUUUAGCUGGUAAUUUUCAUUUUAGUAAACAACCCUUACCAUUUUUAUUGAACUGUUUACUCGUGUAUUGUUUAGUGACACGAAUAAGCUGUAAAUGACUAAUACAGUACUAGAGAUCUGAAAGUUUCUCUUCAACCUCCCCCAUCACACACACUUGCACUUUCAGGAAAGUAUAUGAUCAGAUGUUUGACUUCUGACUCUCUGUGUGAAGUAGUGGAGGUGGGGAACAUCAUCCAGCGGACAGAGGUAAUAAGUCGAACGGUUCUAAACUUGUUUGGUUAUUUACAAAAGGGGGGCAUUCCUGGCAACAUAACCACUAUAUUGUGUGAUUACUACCCCUGAUAUGAAGCAAUGCUUAUAAUGCUUUCCCCAUUUUGUUGAACAGCUGGAAAUCACUUCGAAUUGUACUUUUCACCUUGUUUUGGAUAAACGUUACAAAGGGAAAUGUGUGAAAGUUUGAA